rnacentral:lncRNA from 1 species
UUGCAAGUCAAGCAUUGAGGAGGAAGAAAUUAGUUUUUAACUUUUUUUACCUCCCAUUUUAACCAAUCGAGAUUCAAGUUCUGUGAGCCAGACAGCAGAAGGAAGUCUUAGGCUGGCAGGAGUAAAUUAGCAGACACUCUGAAUCUGGAUUAUUACAGGGAAAGUACGAGGCAAAGAAGCUGUCAGGUAGAUGUCUUCAUUUCUUCUCUCUGGGUUUGGCCUUCAGGAGUGAAUGUAUCAGUUAGUUUGAUCAGGUGAGGACAAGAACCUCUUGUCCAGUUCUCCAUUUGGGACACUUGGAAAAUACUGCCAUGCCCAACACUGUGCCAGCUUGAGGUGCAGCAUUUUGGUUCUGAACAUGGAGAAAAAAAAAAGCCAUAAGGAAAAAGAGUCUGGAAUUAACUCAUAUGCUUAUGUUGGUCUCCACAUAGCAAGACCCUUCUGUAGUGGAAUGGAGUGACUGGACCAAGGAUCCAGAUAGAAACACUGCCAGAGUCCGCACCACAAUAAGAGCUGAGUAAGUAGGGAGCCAUUGAUCAAGCAGAGAAAAUUUUCAAUUUGUGUUCAUCAGCCCCAGAUGUCAGCAACAAAUACCAGCUGAAGAUCCUGAAAAAGACCAAGCCAAACAAAUACUGCAGCAGACACGGAACACCCACUCUGCAGCAGACUGAAAACCAGUCAUCAUUUGUAUCAUCAGAACGAGAAACCAAGAAUGAGUCACAGACAAGAGGAAAUGAAGACAAUUGUAGCACAGUUUAUAUGUCAGAUUUGUGGUGCCAAGUCCUUUACAAGCCUUUUACAUGUGUUCUGGUAUUUUGCUAAUGUAGCUACAAUAUCUCCAGGGCCUUAACAUCCUUUCUUUCGUCUCUCAAAUGACCUAUAAAAGAUGGUUAGAAGAACAUAGAAUAAAAAAAGAAAAUGACCAGAGGGGUUUUCUGGU